rnacentral:lncRNA from 1 species
UACCACUGCCAUGGCCCAUCUCAAUGAUGAGGCCCACUGGGCCAUUGGCAAGAUCGCAACCGCAAUUGCGGAUGAGGUUGGAGCCGGCCGACCGACGACCAGUCCGGCACCGGCGGCGACGUCGGCCGAUCUCCUCAAGCACGCCUCACCUCGUCGGUCAGAAUCACCGUCCCCAUUCUCUCCCGGCUCAGGUAACACUUCAGGCUCUACCCAUGUUCUCCGUUUUGUAGGGCAAAAUGGUAGGUUCUCUGCCUUGUGAUUUAAGCAAGAAUACAAGAAGUUUAUGAAGAGGGAAGGUUCCAAUUGGAAAAAAAAAAGGGAUCAAAUUGGCAGACCAGUUUUGCCUGCCUGCCUACUACGUACUCUCCCUGCACUUAUGCCUCUAUAUAUCUCCAGGCACCGUGUCAUGUUUGAUUUUAAAUACAGUGCUUUGUUUUUUCUCAUUUCCUUUACUAGCGUGCUUCAGUGUCUGCAGCUCUUGAUUAUACUAGUAAUUUAUCAGAGGUUGAUUGGGACACGCGGCAGGACUCGCCCUGUCGUCCGUACGUUUCCCCAUCUGAAUCUUGUCCUAGCAAAUGCAGUUCGUUCUAAGCAUUUCAUUCUGAGAUUUUCUAUCAGAGUUCGGAUUCCCGGUGCCGUACUGAACCUUAUUAUGUUCUGCUUUGAUUUUUUUUUUUCUGAGAUGUUCGGCUUAGCCUGUAGACUGUAGUUAUUGUUUGCAGGAUCAUAAACAGAGAAUGGACCAAUGCUGAAUUCAUGAUGACAGCAUGUAUCUCCUUUUCUUUCUUUUUUUCUUGUAGUGCUAAUUAACCUAGAGAUGGGAUAAGAUAAACACAUGCCUUCAGUUUGUUUAUGUUUCCUCACAUGUUGCUUGUAUUGCGCAUUACGGUAUCUAUCACCUUCAGUGCUCAACCUUAUGCCUCAGAUUUGCUUCGGCUCUAAGAGAUCCUUAGUCUUGAUCUGCAUGUCUGAUAAGAGUUGCUAUAAAAUUUGUCCUUCAGCUAAGGCACAAAAGUCUUUACUCAGUAUUUCCAGUCGGUCAUAUGUAAUUCUCCUUCUUCAUUUUUCUUUAGUUAUUAUUAAAGUUUUGGUCAGCUAUAAUAUAAUCUUUCUGAAGUUACCUGUACAAAGAAUUUUCAAACUAAUUUUAGUCAGCUGUCAUGAUUCAUGAAUUCGUCAUGAUUAAUAAAAAGCUGCAUCAUGGUCCUCAGCCUAUAAUUGCCAUAUUAAUAUGAAUUCAGUGUUAAUGUAGGGGCUCUUGCUCCAUUGAAGCCACUCUGUAAGUACACAUAGCUCUUCAAUGCAAUUGAUUCAUUUAACAAAAUGUUGUUCAAUCAAGCCCCAACAUUUUGACUAUUAUGUGUAGUUCUGUGAAAAAAAUGGGCCAAGACCUUGGUUUGCGAUGAAAAUGUUUGAAACAAAUCAGAAAACUGUAUGCACCGCAUUUUUAUAUUUUAGUUGGAGGUAUGAACUUAACUACUUAUGCCCAAUGACAUUGUUAUGAUGCAACCAAUCCCCUUUCUUAUUUCUAAGCUACGACAUUAUUAAAGAAGUUAUGCAUCUUCUCAUCUAUAUAAGCAUCAAUAUUUCUGUUAACAUGGGUGCGUUCUUUUUAUAAAAUCGUAGCACUGAAGUUGAAUUCACACACGACAUGGAACUCAAUAGAUUGUCUUGCUGCUUGUCCAGUGUGCUAGAUCCGUAGGUUAGUGAGUUAGGUUAGCUCCAGUGCAUAAAUUUCUUGGCAAUGUGCAAGGCUGGUCAUAUCACAAGGUGUUUUUACUAGUUAAAUAAGUUUCAAUAUAUAAAUUUGUUACUUCAUACUAAAGUGGGCUCCAAAUAUAUAGUAUCCUAACUUUCCCUACCAUGGAGGGUGGAUGAAAGAGAAUAAGUGGUAAAUACUGUUUAUUUAUCCUUGAUACCAAAUGCAAAAUUAAACAUGUAUAAAAAGGUUCUAACCGAGCACCUAUACUUCUAUUCUUCUCUCUCACUCUUCAGUCUUCACCGUGGCUCCUUAGCACACAUAUUAGAGCUGUCCUCAGUCCAUGAAAGGGUGCUCCAAGGCCAUGUGCAUGGGUAGAUUAGGUGGCAUAUUAUUUCACAGUCUAAGAAUAGAAAAGGUCCUCUAGGCCUGAGUUCUCUGCUGGUUUACUUUAAUUAUAAAUUUGGCAGCUUUAAAUUUUGGCUCCUGUUUUGCUUUUACCUGUUUAUCAUAUUGAAAGUUGUGACACAGGAAAGAGCGCGUGACCUGCUUUCCCUUUCUCCCAUUUGUUUUAUACCCACAAGAAGCCUGCAAAAACGUUUGAUACAAGAAUACCCAUUUUUUUUUGGCUUAAUCACAUGGCACCACCAUGAUGACUCUUUAAUCAAAGCCUCAUCGAUAAUCAGCUCUGUUAUAUUAAGCCUUGGGAGACGAGUUUUGGUUCCUUGUGGGGUGCUCUUGAAGCAAGUACAGCUAUUCAUUAACCCAAACUCAUUAUCUGACAAUAUCUUGAAUGAAGGUUGUUACUACAAGUUUGUUUUUCCCUUCAUGACUAUAAAGUACAAAAAAUGGAUUCUUCAAGAUAUUUGUGUUGUCGUUUUAUGGUUACAUGUUUGAAUUUUGAACACAAGAUCGUUCAAAGUGUAUAAUUAGAUAUACUUUAUCAUGCUUGGUUUGUUCUGAUCUGUUCCACAACUACAACUGAAUGAUUUGGACUAAUUCAAUAACAAGUGAACCAUGUUCUUCUUUUAAUAUACUCUUCCUGGUGUUCUUCCUAGUGAUCCUUCAGCAUUUGAACUCACCAACUGAAUACAGGCUGCUCCGAGUCUCUGAGUUGAGAUUAUAAUGUUCAAAAGGUAGCAGGUAACCGAACGGUCUGCCCUAUUUUCAAAAGAAAAGAGAAAUUACUUUCAAACAAUGAUGAUCAUUAAAAUGAUCGUGCUAAUGGUUAAUAAAGUACCUGACAUGUCUAAACUUUCAUUUUAUCUGAUGACCAUGCAUUUCACGAUGAUAUCAAUUGAGCAAGACUUGGCCUGUUUGGUUUUCCUUACUAAAUUUUAGUUAGCUAAAUUUUAGUCACUUUAGUAGCUAAAGUUCUAAACAUAUUGACUAGAAAGGUGCUCAAAUAGUUUAAUCCCACUAGUCAUUUAAGAGUAGCUAAAAUAGUUUUAACUGACUAAAAUUUAGUAAGAGGAACCAAACAGGUCCUUGGUCUUUCUAUCUUUCUAUCGAAAAAUGUCCCUUGUGCUAAUAAAGACAUUCCACUAUCUCACCUUGGUAAUAAAGUGACACCUUUAAUUUGGCCACAUUUCUCUUAAUGGAUGUAUGAUCUUUUUAUAGGGCAUUUUUUCCUUAUCAUGAGUGUUCUAGUUUAUAGGCCUCCUAAUCUGUGUAACAAAUAUUUAGCACUUCAAAUCUCUCAGUGUUGUUCACUGAACUAAGGGCCAGGAAUAGGUUGUCAGGUUAUAUCAGAACUCAUACGCUUUGCUCUGCAUCACAACCGGUGAAUCAACAUUUUUUGUGGAGUAGACCAUAUCAAAAUGCUAAUUAAGCCCCAGAAGAAAACAAAUAAGCAGGUGACAAGUUUUUUUUUACUUUCUUUUUUGUGAGGUCUUCCAAGUUUUCUUUCUUCUACAUAUAUCUACCAAGGCCUUGUUUACUUCCAUCCAAAAUCCAAAAACUUUUUAAGAUUUUCUGUCACAUCAAAUCUUUAGACGCAUGCAUAAAGUAUUAAAUAUAAACAAAAAAAAACUAAUUGUAUAGUUUGGUCAAAAUUUACUAGACAGAUCUUUUAAGCCUAGUUAAUACAUGAUUAGACAAUAAUUACUAUAAACAAAAUGAAAGUGCUAUAAUGUCAAGAAAACCCAAGCUGUACGUUUUUGAACUGCCUAUUCUCCAUAUCAGCUUUUUGAAAAAUGCAAUAAAUGCAAUAGCUUCUAGGAGUAGUACGUUGUGUAUCCAGCUUUUGAUCUGCUGCUCACACAUUUCCAUCUUUUGCAGCGGAUGUUGCGGAAAUUUGCAUACAGAUACAGGCCUACCUACAGCUGUGGAUACUGUAAGCUUUUAUUUUUCCAAGGCAAGGGACAGUUGAAUUGGGCUCUCUCUUUCUUGCUCCAGUUGUUUACUGUAGCAUCAUGUCCACUUGCUGUAUUUUCUAAACUUCCCUGAACAUUUAUAGGCAUAUUCUUCUCUAUUUUUAUUUUAUGAAAAUAUUCAUAAAGUUUCAAUAUUUCAUACCACUCCGCUAUUUUCUUAAGGGCCCACCGCUUUUGUCUGGAUCUCCCUGUUUAUGGUUGGAGUCAUAUUGUUAGCAGAAGCAUUACUUUUGUUUUCUGAUUGAUGAGGACACUCAUAUUAAAAUGGGUCUGCAUAAAACUAUUGCCUUGUCUAUUCAAGCACCCAUUGUUUUAUGAUAACGAGGAUUUCAUUCAAGCUUUUACAGUUCCAUCCAGCACACAUCAUUAAUUUGACUGUCUUUUUUAUUUGCCUUUUGAAUUUACUCUCCAGCUACUACUGAUUUACCCAAAAGGCCCAAGCUUCGUUCUUAUCCCCUCACUCCCUCAUUUGGACAGCUGUGUGCUGUUGUGCAUGGCAGGCUGAAGUGUCCAAGCAAAACAGGCACAUGUUCAGGUUCUGUAAAUUUGGGUACGCGUGCUUGUUAUAAAUUUUCUGCACGGGCACUCCUAUUCCCCAUCUCCUAGAGCUUUUCUUGAGAAAUAAAAGAGCAAGGAAGUAACAAGAAUCUGGCUUUUUACGUGAGUUUGAAGGUUCAAAAAGAAGAGAAACAUCGGGAAAGCUGCAUAGAAAGAUGGGAAAUGAAAUGCUUUAGGAAAUGUUUGUUUGAGUUCAUCUACCACUAUUUUUUAGUUAUAG